GCCGGCCUGCAAAGUUGGUGACGGAUGGCAACCGUUUUUUGAACCGAUAAUUCAAUGAACAGGGUGCCCGCCUCGACAUAGAUCUGGUGUGCAUGCUCCGCCCUGCGGAGAAGCCUAAAGGAUCUCGGAGGGUGCCCACCGUAACGAACGGGUUCAUUGACGGCCCAUUGCGCACGGCUAAGCGGGUCGGCA
rnacentral:other from 1 species